AACGAACGCUGGCGGCAGGCUUAACACAUGCAAGUCGAGCGCCCCGCAAGGGGAGCGGCAGACGGGUGAGUAACGCGUGGGAAUCUACCCAUCCCUACGGAACAACUCCGGGAAACUGGAGCUAAUACCGUAUACGUCCUCCGGGAGAAAGAUUUAUCGGGGAUGGACGAGCCCGCGUUGGAUUAGCUAGUUGGUGGGGUAAAGGCCUACCAAGGCGACGAUCCAUAGCUGGUCUGAGAGGAUGAUCAGCCACACUGGGACUGAGACACGGCCCAGACUCCUACGGGAGGCAGCAGUGGGGAAUAUUGGACAAUGGGCGCAAGCCUGAUCCAGCCAUGCCGCGUGAGUGAUGAAGGCCCUAGGGUUGUAAAGCUCUUUCACCGGGGAAGAUAAUGACGGUACCGGAGAAGAAGCCCCGGCUAACUUCGUGCCAGCCGCCGCGGUAACAC
rnacentral:rRNA from 1 species